AUUGUGUGUUGCUUCUCUUAAAUAAGAUAAAAACCCAAGGAUGCAAAAAACUUAAUAUAAAAUAGUGUGAAGAAGAAGUAGUAACUGAAAUGAACAGCAUAAUAGAAUUUGAUAAGUUUGACUCAGCACUUGACAAUGUUUCAUCUAGUAACUCUGUAGUAUCUCUGCAGUUAAACAAAGAGUUCAAAAUAUUGGUGGUAAGAACUGUCAAAAACUUGUGAUAGCUAUGAUGAAGAGUUUUAUGACAAAUUCACUCAUGGCCAAAUCUAAUAUGGCAGCUGGAAAAGGCAAAGAAUCUUUUUAGUCUAACCAAGCUAUACAACUUAAUAAAAGUUUGUGCAUCGACUUCUCACGAAUUAUACACAGAGUCGAUUGUAGAUGCAAUAAUUGCUGAUUCGUGAAAGCGGGCAACUUUUGCUUGUCUCAAAGUGCCUUAAAUCCAACAGAUAUCAUUGUUAUAAUAUUACUUUGUUUGUAAAUUGUUUUAAAAAAUAAAUUUAAAAAUAACUUUUAAAUAA